AAGCUCGUAGUUGAAUUUCGGGGUCAGUAGGUUGGUCGUGCCACCGGUACGUACUGGUCUCACUGAUUCCUCCUUCCUGAUGAGCUGUAAUGCCAUUAAUUUGGUGUUGCAGGGAAUCUGGACUGUUACUUUGAAAAAAUUAGAGUGUUUAAAGCAGGCUAACGCUUGAAUACAUUAGCAUGGUAUAAUGAAAUAGGACGUUCGAUCCUAUUUUGUUGGUUUCUAGGAUUGACGUAAUGAUUAAUAGGAAGUUGGG
rnacentral:rRNA from 1 species